AAGUGUUAAUAGCUUGCAUGUGUAUUCAAAUGUUCAUACUUGUUCUUAGCUAGGACAAAAUUUUUCCUUCAAUCCCAGGAUCAGAACCAAUGCAACUGAUAGAGUAUUAUUGCCUUUAAGAAAGAAACAUCAGAGUGGGACUCUGGAAGCGUGCAUUCACUUAGGUUGUUAACCAAAGUGAAAAUAAGCCAUUUUAACAAAUGGAACUUCAUAAUGGAUGAAGUACUAAUCAUAUGAAUGAAUUGUUUAGUAUUGUACUACAAUGGUCUCAAGCUUGGAGCAAAGUUUGUAUAAAGUAUACAAACGAAAUAUAUAUAGAUAUAUAGUUUUAGAAACUGCUUCAAAAGGUGUUUUGAAUGAAAGGGGUUCUUUCAAAACCCAUGAUUGAAUCCAAA
rnacentral:lncRNA from 1 species